GGAAUAGCCUUCAGAAGAGAAGUGAUGUGGCUGCUGAAUUUUGACCUGCUCUGAAUAUGGUAUGAAUCAGGUUCUAGAGUACCAUGGAAACUCAGCUGCAAUGUGGUGCAGUAUUUGUAAGAUUAUACAGAUUGAACAGGAAAAUGUGACAAUUAAAGAGAGCCAGUGAACCUU